rnacentral:rRNA from 1 species
UACGGAGGGUGCGAGCGUUGUCCGGAUUUAUUGGGUUUAAAGGGUGCGUAGGUGGGUUAAUAAGUCAGUGGUGAAAUACGGUUGCUCAACAAUCGAGGUGCCAUUGAUACUGUUAAUCUUGAAACAAGUGGAGGUUGCCGGAAUGGAUGGUGUAGCGGUGAAAUGCAUAGAUAUCAUCCAGAACACCGAUUGCGAAGGCAGGUGACUACGUUUUGAUUUGACACUGAGGCACGAAAGCAUGGGGGAGCAAACAGG